UCCCUGGUGGUCUAGUGGUUAGGAUGCAUCACUUUCACCACUGUUGCCCAGGUUCAAUCCCUGGUCUGGGAG
rnacentral:tRNA from 1 species